UUUGAUCAUGGCUCAG
rnacentral:rRNA from 1 species